rnacentral:rRNA from 1 species
CCUACGGGAGGCUGCAGUGAGGAAUAUUGGUCAAUGGCCGUAAGGCUGAACCAGCCAAGUAGCGUGAGGGAAGACUGCCCUAUGGGUUGUAAACCUCUUUUAUGCGGGGAUAAAGGUGUCCACGUGUGGAUGUUUGCAGGUACCGCAUGAAUAAGGACCGGCUAAUUCCGUGCCAGCAGCCGCGGUAAUACGGAAGGUCCGGGCGUUAUCCGGAUUUAUUGGGUUUAAAGGGAGCGUAGGCCGGUCUUUAAGCGUGCCGGGAAAUUUUGUGGCUCAACCAUGAGAGUGCGGCGCGAAAUGGAGACCUUGAGUGCGCGGAAGGCAGGCGGAAUUCGUGGUGUAGCGGUGAAAUGCUUAGAUAUCACGAAGAACCCCGAUUGCGAAGGCAGCCUGCCGCAGCGUUACUGACGCUGAAGCUCGAAAGCGCGGGUAUCGAACAGGAUUAGAUACCCCUGUAGUC